rnacentral:rRNA from 1 species
CAAUAGCGUAUAUUAAAGUUGUUGCAGUUAAAAAGCUCGUAGUUGGAUUUCUGGUGGGAGCGAUCGGUCUGGCGCUUAGCGCGAGUACUUGCAUCGUCUCCGGCCAUCCUUGGGGAGAGUCUGUCUGGCAUUAGGUUGUCGGGCAGAGGAUCCUCAUCGUUUACUGUGAAAAAAUUAGAGUGUUCAAAGCAGGCUUAUGCCGUUGAAUAUAUUAGCAUGGAAUAAUAAGAUAGGACUUUGGUACUAUUUUGUUGGUUUGCGCACCAAAGUAAUGAUUAAUAGGGACAGUUGGGGGUAUUCGUAUUCCGUUGUCAAAGGUGAAAUUCUUGGAUUUACGGAAGACGAACUACUGCGAAAGCAUUUACCAAGGAUGUUUUCAUUAA